rnacentral:rRNA from 1 species
GAGUUUGAUCAUGGCUCAGGAUAAACGCUGGCGGCGUGCCUAAUGCAGCAAGUCGCACGAGAGCCCGGCUUCGGCCGGGGGACAGUGGCGGACGGGUGAGUAACACGUAGGAACCUGCCCGGGAGUGGGGGACAACCCCGCGAAAGCGGGGCUAAUACCGCAUACGGUCUACGGACCAAAGCCUUCGGGCGCUCUCGGAGGGGCCUGCGGCGGAUUAGCUGGUUGGUGGGGUAACGGCCUACCAAGGCGACGAUCCGUAGCUGGUCUGAGAGGAUGAUCAGCCACACUGGGACUGAGACACAGCCCAGACUCCUACGGGAGGCAGCAGCAAGGAAUUUUCCGCAAUGGGCGCAAGCCUGACGGAGCAACGCCGCGUGGGGGAAGAAGGCCCUCGGGUUGUAAACCCCUUUUGCGAGGGAAGAAGAUCUGACGGUACCUCGCGAAUAAGCCACGGCUAACUACGUGCCAGCAGCCGCGGUAAUAC